UGGGGAAUUUUGGACAAUGGGCGAAAGCCUGAUCCAGCAAUGCCGCGUGUGUGAAGAAGGCCUUCGGGUUGUAAAGCACUUUUGUCCGGAAAGAAAUCCUUGGCUCUAAUACAGUCGGGGGAUGACGGUACCGGAAGAAUAAGCACCGGCUAACUACGUGCCAGCAGCCGCGGUAAUACGUAGGGUGCAAGCGUUAAUCGGAAUUACUGGGCGUAAAGCGUGCGCAGGCGGUUUGCUAAGACCGAUGUGAAAUCCCCGGGCUCAACCUGGGAACUGCAUUGGUGACUGGCAGGCUAGAGUAUGGCAGAGGGGGGUAGAAUUCCACGUGUAGCAGUGAAAUGCGUAGAGAUGUGGAGGAAUACCGAUGGCGAAGGCAGCCCCCUGGGCCAAUACUGACGCUCAUGCACGAAAGCGUGGGGAGCAAACAGGAUUNGAUACCCUGGUAGUCCACGCCCUAAAACGAUGUCAACUAGUUGUUGGGGAUUCAUUUCCUAGUAACGUAGCUAACGCGUGAAGUUGACCGCCUGGGGGAGUACGGUCGCAAGAUUAAAACUCAAA
rnacentral:rRNA from 1 species